CACGCUUCGGGCUGCGACGCCACCGCCGCUGGGCGGAGAGUUACCGCCAACCGCCUUAACGGCCGAAACAAUGUUAAUGGGUUUCGGAGUCGGUCGGCGCGUUCCCAUUAUCAGCUUCGUCUGCCCCUUCGUCGUUUUACGCGGAGUAGGUGGUCUCCAUAGUUACUUUUAAGUUUCAUAUGCCUCUCCUAACCUUUGUGAGGUAAAAGAAUCUCCGGCCUUUUACUCUUGGACAAGCGAGGAAAUGAAGAGGACAGGGGAAUUUAGUAAUAUGUAAACUGAGGGUUAGUUUGCUUUAAAAUCGAAUGGGGCUGCAAUUCAGAAAUUUUUUGAUCCGCUUCAUGGGCCUUGCUGUGGUUACAAGCACCGGCGUAACGAGGCAGGUGCAACAACCGCCGGGGAGCCUGGUGAGCGCCGGCCGCCUCGCCGUCCAGCCGCGUCCUCUCUGACGCCUGCAAAGUUUCCCACAACAUUUGGGAAGAUGUGCAAGGUAUACUCCAUUUAGGCAAAAAUAACUCCCAGCGAAGAGUCAUUGUCACAAGCAGUAAUUUUGUGCUGCAACUACAAGGUAAGAUUUUUUUAAAACACUUUUUAUAGUAAAUUCUGGCAAUGUAAACAUUUGAGAUCCAAUUCUUAUAAAUCUUUUAAAUUUUAUGUAGAAAAGUAGAAGAAAAAUAACUUCCAAAAAUGAAAAAUAAAUCCAUCCUAAAACAGUUUCUCAUACAACAUUCCCUACGUAAGCUCAAGUGACAGACUUUUAUUUGGGGUUUCCAACCCAAUGAAAAUGUAAAACUUCUGACACAUUUGUAUAUUGCUUUUCUUUUAAAACCUCGUUACCAUAUCUUCAUUGUUGAAGUUAUGAAUAUAGAGUACUUAUUUUAGCUAGCAAUAUUCUAUUAGUUUUAUUUACAGAUGCACUUGCAGCCUAUAUUCCAAAGUUGUGUUAAAUAUUCCACGUUGGUGGUGGGUUUCUUGGUCCUUUGGGUUUUGAAAAACGAUUUGCAAAAC